rnacentral:rRNA from 1 species
AUGGUAGCUUGCUACCAGGCGUCGAGCGGCGGACGGGUGAGUAAUACUUAGGAAUCUACCUAGUAGUGGGGGAUAGCUCGGGGAAACUCGAAUUAAUACCGCAUACGACCUACGGGAGAAAGGGGGCAACUUGUUGCUCUCGCUAUUAGAUGAGCCUAAGUCGGAUUAGCUAGAUGGUGGGGUAAAGGCCUACCAUGGCGACGAUCUGUAGCUGGUCUGAGAGGAUGAUCAGCCACACCGGGACUGAGACACGGCCCGGACUCCUACGGGAGGCAGCAGUGGGGAAUAUUGGACAAUGGGGGCAACCCUGAUCCAGCCAUGCCGCGUGUGUGAAGAAGGCCUUUUGGUUGUAAAGCACUUUAAGCAGUGAAGAAGACUCCAUGGUUAAUACCCAUGGACGAUGACAUUAGCUGCAGAAUAAGCACCGGCUAACUCUGUGCCAGCAGCCGCGGUAAUACAGAGGGUGCAAGCGUUAAUCGGAAUUACUGGGCGUAAAGGGAGCGUAGGUGGCUCGAUAAGUCAGAUGUGAAAUCCCCGGGCUCAACCUGGGAACUGCAUCUGAUACUGUUGAGCUAGAGUAUGUGAGAGGAAGGUAGAAUUCCAGGUGUAGCGGUGAAAUGCGUAGAGAUCUGGAGGAAUACCGAUGGCGAAGGCAGCCUUCUGGCAUAAUACUGACACUGAGGCUCGAAAGCGUGGGUAGCAAACAGGAUUAGAUACCCUGGUAGUCCACGCCGUAAACGAUGUCUACUAGUCGUUGGGUCCCUUGAGGACUUAGUGACGCAGCUAACGCAAUAAGUAGACCGCCUGGGGAGUACGGCCGCAAGGUUAAAACUCAAAUGAAUUGACGGGGGCCCGCACAAGCGGUGGAGCAUGUGGUUUAAUUCGAUGCAACGCGAAGAACCUUACCUGGUCUUGACAUAUCUAGAAUCCUGCAGAGAUGCGGGAGUGCCUUCGGGAAUUAGAAUACAGGUGCUGCAUGGCUGUCGUCAGCUCGUGUCGUGAGAUGUUGGGUUAAGUCCCGCAACGAGCGCAACCCUUGUCCUUAGUUACCAGCGGGUUAAGCCGGGAACUCUAAGGAUACUGCCAGUGACAAACUGGAGGAAGGCGGGGACGACGUCAAGUCAUCAUGGCCCUUACGACCAGGGCUACACACGUGCUACAAUGGUAGGUACAGAGGGCAGCUACACAGCGAUGUGAUGCGAAUCUCAAAAAGCCUAUCGUAGUCCAGAUUGGAGUCUGCAACUCGACUCCAUGAAGUAGGAAUCGCUAGUAAUCGCGGAUCAGAAUGCCGCGGUGAAUACGUUCCCGGGCCUUGUACACACCGCCCGUCACACCAUGGGA